AUGAUGAAUUCUAGGAAGGAUGCUCAUGCAAGGAAAGGCUAUGUUGUCUUAACAAGGAUGAAAAGUAUAACAACAUACACAAACCAACGUGGACAACCCAGAUCUGGUAAAUUGUUUAUGUCAUUUAAGUUGUCUCUAGCAUUUGCUAUAAUGCAUAAAAUCCUGGACAGAUGGGACCUGGAAGAUACACCAGAAACAGAAGAAAAAGUUCUCAAAAUUGUUAUCUCUAAGAUCACUCUUUGUCUACUAUGUGUUAAGAGAAACUUGGAAACUGGAGAAGAGCCGGAUUGGAUUGCUCUGUGGGAACACACCCACACAAAGAAUGGAACAUGGUCUAACAGAGUCCCAGGAUGUCUAUCAUGCUUCUUCAUCAGCUGGGAUUAUUAA
rnacentral:rRNA from 1 species